AUACAUACAAUCAGUUGCAUCUGGCAAUAAUAUUCAAGUUACAUCAAAUUAUCUAUAAUAUUAUCAGAGAGUGUUAUAUUUCACUACUCCAAAGCUUACAGACAUUCAAAUUACAUAUAGUGUAGUUCUUAUAUAAACUUAAAAUACAGUGCUAUGGAAA